GGGCGUUUAGCGCAGUGGUAGCGCGUAUGCUUUGCAAAUUGCAAACCCCGAGGGGUUGAAUGUGUAUAAGGUCCAGGGUUCAAUCCCCUGAACGUCCA